UACAUAGAAAACCUGUGGUAAUUUUAGAGUAAUACAAGCUAAAAAACUAGAUUUCGGAAGGGGUGUAUUUAUUAGAUAAAAAACCAACGCCCUUCGGGGCUCCUUGGUGAAUCAUAAUAACUAAGCGAAUCGCAUGGCCUUGCACCGGCGAUGGUUCAUUCAAAUUUCUGCCCUAUCAACUUUCGAUGGUAGGAUAGUGGCUUACCAUGGUGGCAACGGGUAACGGGGAAUAAGGGUUCGAUUCCGGAGAGGGAGCCUGAGAAACGGAUACCACAUCCAAGGAAGGCAGCAGGCGCGCAAAUUACCCAAUCCCGACACGGGGAGGUAGUGACAAUAAAUACUGAUACGGGGCUCUUUUGGGUCUCGUAAUUGGAAUGAGAACAAUUUAAAUCCCUUAACGAGGAACAAAAGGAGGGCAAGUCUGGUGCCAGCAGCCAAUCGAAUUUAACGGAGGCCAU
rnacentral:rRNA from 1 species